CACGUAGUUAGCCGGUGCUUCUUAUCUAGGUACCGUCACACAAAGCUUCGUCCCUAGCGAAAGGAGUUUACAACCCGAAGGCCUUCAUCCCCCACGCGGCGUCGCUGCAUCAGGCUUGCGCCCAUUGUGCAAUAUUCCCCACUGCCUGCCUCCCGUAGGACGUCUGGGCCGUAUCUCAGUCCCAAUGUGGCCGUACACCCUCUCAGGCCGGACUACCCGUCGCCGCCUUGGUAGGCCAUUACCCCACCAACAAGCUGACUAGGCCGCGAGCUCAUCCUACACCGAAAAAACUUCCCAACCACCACACUAAAGAUGGCUCCUAUCCGGUAUUAGACCCAGUUUCCCAAGCUUAUCCCGAAGUGCAGGGCAGAUCACCCACGUGUUACUCACCCGUUCGCCACUCGAGUACCCUGCAAGCAAGGGCCUUUCCGUCGACUUGCAUGUGUUAAGCACGCCGCCAGCGUUCGUCCUGAGCCAGGAUCGAAACUCCUA
rnacentral:rRNA from 1 species